rnacentral:rRNA from 1 species
CCUACGGGCUGCAGCAGUGAGGAAUAUUGGUCAAUGGGCGCGAGCCUGAACCAGCCAAGUAGCGUGAAGGAUGACUGCCCUACGGGUUGUAAACUUCUUUUGUAAAGGAAUAAAGUUAGGCACGUGUGCCUUUUUGUCUGUACUUUAUGAAUAAGGAUCGGCUAACUCCGUGCCAGCAGCCGCGGUAAUACGGAGGAUCCGAGCGUUAUCCGGAUUUCUUGGGUUUAAAGGGAGCGUAGAUGGGUUGUUAAGUAAGUUGUGAAAGUUUGAGGCUCAACCGUAAAAUUGCAAUUGAUACUGGCAGUCUUGAGGACAGGUGAGGUAGGCGGAAUUCGUGGUGGAGCGGUGAAAUGCUUAGAUAUCACGAAGAACUCCGAUUGCGAAGGCAGCUUACUAAACUGCCACUGACAUUGAUGCUCGAAAGUGUGGGUAUCAAACAGGAUUAGAUACCCGUGUAGUC